UACAAAAUGGUUAGUGGUUAGCACGUGUGCCUCACAUUUCCAGGGUUGAGGGUUCGAUUCCUGCCUUUGUGA